GGGGGUGUAUCUUAGUGGAAAAGUGCAUGUUUAGAAUGUUUGAAGCCCUGGUUCAAUCUCCAGUCUCCUCCA
rnacentral:tRNA from 1 species